rnacentral:misc_RNA from 1 species
CUCCAGAUGCCAGCAAGGGAAAGCUGAAUGCAAAACAGAAAGAGCAGAAUAAUUGUAUUCCUGAUGAACACUACGUGCAGACAUUGCUUUCGAUGGCUGAGCUGGAAGGUGAACUUGAAAGAAGGACCUUGACCUAUACUGUUUGGAAUCAGUCGGCAACAAAAAUGGAGAGUAAAGGUUGGCAUCCUAUCACAUUUGCCUAUGCAAAUGCAGGCCGUCAAAAUAUCAGGGAAAUAAAGGAUAUCAACCACGUAUACUAUGAGAGCGAGUACCGAACAGAGUGGUGCCGUACCAACUCAACAUCUGUUUCCUGUUUUCUAUUUGCUAGGAAGUUCUCUAGGGGAGCUGCCGUGCGUCUUUUGAGUGAGGGGGUAGUUGGUCCCUUUGAUGCCUCAGCAUUAUUAGCCACCUCCAACUGAUUUGCAAUAGCCACACGUUUUCUGAUGGCAAUCUUAACUCUCAACUGACCCACUUCAAAAUAUAGUAGGAGCAGCUAUGGAUCGCCCAAACCCAUUACACAGUCGUAGAUACAUAACUAAUAUGAGAGGCUGUUGCAACAACAGCGGCUUUUGGAUUAAUUCCGAAGAAAAAUGAGUUGGAAC